rnacentral:lncRNA from 1 species
GGUUCCCAGGCUAGGGGUCCAAUUGGAGCUGUAGCCGCCGGCCUACACCAGAGCCACAGCAAUGUGGGAGCCGAGCCAUGUCUGCGACCUACACCACAGCUCACGGCAAUGCCAGAUCCUUAACCCCCUGAGCAAGGCCAGGGAUCGAACCUGCAACCUCAUGGUUCCUAGUCAGAAUCGUUAACCACUGAGCCACGACAAGAACUCCUAACCUACUUUAUUUUUAAUGUAUAUGGACCUGAUCACAGUACUCAGAAAAUCCUCAUAAAUCUUAAGGCAUAAAAUUAAGUAUUAAUUUUUUUUUUUUUUUUUGUGCACUGCCUAAUUCUUGCUUCCUAAAAUUCUACCCAUCAUUGAUAUUUUCUUGAAAUCCCUUCUAUUUUAUUGGGUUGCUUUUUGUUUUUGUUUGUUUCUUUGUUGCUAUGGAGCCUUCACAUGAAUACAGUAAAGAUCUCUCUAGUAUUUAAAUAAAAGCAAAAAAACCUGAUACUUCCCUUUAUGUGUUCCCUAUGCGUUUUAGUGCAGCCUAGAAUAUUUUGUGCUUUCCAAAGCAGUGAUUAGAGUUGCUCGUUUUUAUGUUCCCAAGUGAAUAAACAAUAACCAGAAAGUAAGAUUCUCUGGGAAGGAUCUUAUCUAUUAUUGGUAUUUAAAGCAUUUUGAGAGUUCUUACAUAAGAUUCCCUAAUGCCCCAGGGGAAAAAAAAAGUUCAACCUACAUAAAAACAAUACCUUAAUUGUGAAAAUACUUGGGCUGAUCAUCACAUGUUUUCUGCUGCUUUUUUUAUGGAGUAUGAAGCAAAAAUAAAUAUGGAAUACUUCAAAGUAAAAAUAGACUCAAGGCUCAAAGGCCAAAAUUCUUGUCCCAGAGUGGCUUCUUCCAUGGUUUUUGGUACAAUUAUUGAUAAUAACUUCCAUGUUUGAAACUUGACCUCCUGAACUUGUAAGUAGUAGUAACAUAUUUUGGUUUUCAGAUUAGGAAUACCACAAGAAGUACCAUGAUAGGAAAUCUGAAUAAUCUCAAAAGUGGUAGAACAAAUAAGAUUAAUAUGCAGUGAGGAGUGAGAAUAGCAUGAUUCAUGUGGAUCUGAUAUAAAUAGUUCUAUUGAUAAACUCCCAUUAAAAAAAACAACUUAAACUCCACUUAUUCUAAACUACUGUAUUUCAGGAAAUACUUUCUCACGGAAAUGUUAGUUUUUCCCUCUCUUCCCACAAUAUCAAAUGUCAUUCCUCUGAUUUCUCCUUUCCCUUCAUUUAUAGGAACAAUUUAAAACUCUAACUUAUUCAUGAGGAUUUUAGAAGUCCUUGGUAAGCUUUCAAACCAUAAUUUGAUUUGUACCCAUAUCCACCCAAGCCUUGAUCCUUCUGCCCCUCAAAACAAGUCCUAUAAAUCUUACAGUAGCUGGUGUUAGUACUGUCUGCAGAAUGUACCUAACCACUUACAUAGAUUUUAUGUAAUUCAGAAAUCUGCUGAAAGCACAGUAGGUAUAGGCUAUGUUGCUUUUCUAAAUCUGAGGGAGGAUUCAGAAUAUAAAACAUUUUGAAUGGGAAACAAUCUUGCAUGUAAGUUGAGGUGAGGAGGGCCCAGGUUAAUAGCCUCUCAGGUUAAUUGCUAAAGCCACCCAUCUACCUAGUAGGGGAGACUGAUGUGAAACCAGAUGACCUGAAUCCAAGCCUGUUGUUUUGGUUUUGCAUUUGUUUUGGGUCCUGUGUCCCUGUGUACUUUGCAGUCUUUAAAGUAGUAAGAUAAUUGUUGGCCCCUUCCUGUGGUAUGAUAUGCCUUGAAAAAUAAUCGUCAUUCUCAUGACUGUAGAAAUGAAAUAAACGUCAUUUUGCCAUUCUUAAUUUUUUUCCCCAACUGAUAGCUACUUAAAAUGUUUAUCGUCCUAAUACAAAUCAGCAUUCUUUAUAUGGAGAUCUCUUCUUUGUAAUAGAACUUCUUGGUAGACUCUCCAACUGUAGUUUGAUUUUUACCCCUUCCGACCUGGUAAUAUUUUUUGUAAAUGUGACUAUGAAUUAAAGAUCAAAUGUGAGUCUUGGCAUACGAUGGCUUAACAUUCUCAAUUGAAAAAUAGUACUUGUGGUUGACUUACAGCAACUUUUGGGGGCAAAAUUAUGUUUAACUUUCGGGUGUGUCUGACUCUAUGCUUUUCACUCAUCUUUGGUACAUUUCCAUUCUGUGGCUCCCAGCAUCUCGUGCUGGGAACAGGAAAGAGAUGAAUGCAAAUCUGUGGCUGUUUUCCCCUUAAUGCUUAUGUGGGAUCAGGACAGUGUGGAUCAGUCCUAAGUGUUUCAUGAUGUGUUAGCACGUUGAGCAAGUGCGAGGAACGCAAACCAACAAGGCUAUUAAAAAUACUGCCUUUGUGCCAGCCUCUGUUUGGGUGGACGUUUUCCCUUGAUGUAAGACAAAAAGUGCAGCAAAUUAGGUUUGCCACUCCUCCGUGCUUUCUUCCAGUCCGCGUUGAAUGAAAGAUUUCAAACAGAGACACAAUUCCAAAGAAAACAGGUGGUGUGGGAGCUGGAAUUGAUGUUGGCCACAUACUCUGUGGCACAGAUUUACCCUCUCUGAGCAAUUGUCCAUCCCGUGAAAGCUUUUUGCAGUUUAUCACAAGGAAUAUACUAUGUAAAGAGUGUUAAGAGCUGGCCUCUGGUUGGAUACUUGGAUGCUUGGGGGAACUGUGACAAAAGAUUCUUCGCUGAUACCUACACGUUCAUGAAAAACCAUCCAUUAUAUAAUGUAAUUUCAAGUUAUAUUAAUACUUAUUUCUUGGAGAAAGAAGGUACUUUUUACAUCCCCUUUUUAUUUUAUUUUAUUUAUUUAUUUAUUUUUACAUGUAGAUAGCAUUUGGCUUCCUUUGCGUCUACCUAGAGGGUUAUUCUGACUGGCAAGCAUGAUCAUACUGGACUGGUUUUGCCUGCACAUCCAUGGUUUAAGGUGGUGCCUCUUGGAGUAAAAAGGGAGAAACAACGAGUCUUUAUUUUCUUCACAUUUGGAAAUUUGGCAAUAGUUUUACGUAGGACAUAAACCUUUGAUGUCAGGUUUGGUGUAAAACUUCUGUUCCCAAGAAAAUAGUUCCCAAGAACAUACAUCUUCCUGUCAUUUGUGAAAACAGGCGCACAACAACUUCACAUGAAGGGAAAUCAUGUUAUCAUCGGGUACUGGGGACCCCUUUUGCUUUUUACUGUCACAGAACAGAGACUAUGGUCAUUAAUGUCAAAGUUGUGACAGCAUCAUAAAAAGAGGUUGAUCAUUUUAAUUUCUUUAUUUCAACUGAUAAUUCUGAGACUGUUUGGCAGUCUGAUUGGUGUUCAUUUUGUGAUUAGUUUAUUUCAAAUCAUGAAGAGAUCCCCCCACUAUUCUCAUUAAUCUUGUGAACUAAUGUGCUCUAUUUUUACAUCUUGAAAUUGAAAUUGUUAGUGUGUAGUAUCUAGGCAAAUGCAUAUUACAUCAAGAAAUUGGCGCUUGAGGACUUCCCAUUGUGGUGCAGCAGAAAUAAAUCUGACUAGGAACCAUGAGGUUGUGGGUUCGAUCCUUGGCCUCGCUCCAUGGGUUAAGGAUCCAGUGUUGCUGUGAGCUGUGCUGUAGGUUGCAGAUGUGGCUCUGGUUUAGGUUCCAAUUCGACCCCUAGCUCGGGAACCUCCUUGUGCC